GUGAGGAAUAUUGGUCAAUGGGCGGGAGCCUGAACCAGCCAAGUCGCGUGAAGGAAGAAGGAUCUAUGGUUCGUAAACUUCUUUUGCAGGGGAAUAAAGUGCAGGACGUGUCCUGUUUUGUAUGUACCAUGAGAAUAAGGAUCGGCUAACUCCGUGCCAGCAGCCGCGGUAAUACGGAGGAUCCGAGCGUUAUCCGGAUUUAUUGGGUUUAAAGGGUGCGUAGGUGGUUUGAUAAGUCAGCGGUGAAAGUUUGCAGCUUAACUGUAAAAAUGCCGUUGAAACUGUCGGACUUGAGUGUAAAUGAGGUAGGCGGAAUGCGUGGUGUAGCGGUGAAAUGCAUAGAUAUCACGCAGAACUCCGAUUGCGAAGGCAGCUUACUAAGCUACAACUGACACUGAAGCACGAAAGCGUGGGGAUCAAACAGGAUUAGAUACCCCUGUAGUCC
rnacentral:rRNA from 1 species